UAGGGAAUCUUCCGCAAUGGACGAAAGUCUGACGGAGCAACGCCGCGUGAGUGAAGAAGGCUUUCGGUUCGUAAAACUCUGUUGUUAGGGAAGAAAAAAUGUAUAGUAACUAUAUACAAAAGAGACGGUACCUAACCAGAAAGCAACGGCUAACUACGUGCCAGCAGCCGCGGUAAUACGUAGGUGGCAAGCGUUGUCCGGAAUUAUUGGGCGUAAAGCGCGCGCAGGUGGUUUAGAAAGUCUGAUGUGAAAGCCCACGGCUCAACCGUGGAGGGUCAUUGGAAACUAAUAAACUUGAGUGCAGGAGAGAAAAGUGGAAUUCCUAGUGUAGCGGUGAAAUGCGUAGAGAUUAGGAGGAACACCGGUGGCGAAAGCGGCUUUUUGGCCUGCAACUGACACUGAGGCGCGAAAGCGUGGGGAGCAAACAGG
rnacentral:rRNA from 1 species